CUUUUACAAAAACAAUAAACAAGCUCGAUAAUCCCAUCAUCAUCAUCAAUCCAUCCUCUAAAUUUCGCAUUCUCCUAGAAGCAAUAAGCUAGGGUUUGGAUUGGGAGAAAUGGCAAUGAGGAAAGUUUACAGCGAGAUCAAAGGGAUGAAAGUGAAGGAAGUCCCUAACUACGUGAAGCCGAUGCUAUCCAUGGACUACGUGAAGAAAGCUUUUCAAAGGGGUUUGGACAAUUACAAUUCCAAAUACAUUCAAACUGAUUCAAUCCAGCCUCUUUACCAUGUCUGCUUCGGUGGGAUGAUCUUCUCUUACCUCGUCGCUCUCCCCAACGAGCGUCGCCAUCUUGAGCACAAGGAACAUGGCAAUCAUUGAUCCCCAUCCCAUCCAGGUCAAAUUUUAAUCAAACUGGAACCACAACAUGCUCUUCAAUCGCUGGAGAAUAGACGUGUCAAAGGGGGGUGGGGGCUUAUGGCUUAAUGCAUUCGGUUGUAAUUUCGGAAGACUAUUGGGCAGUAAAAUACUGUCUUUUAUCAAAUGCGAUUAUUAUUUGAUAUUUUCAUGCAACAUUUUUUAAAUAAUUAUGAAUAACAUUUUAUAGUUAGUCUAGGAAUGAGAUGUAA